UGCCAAUUCUGAGACCAGAUCGUGUGUGCCACUGCUCAGGCAGCAUCCAUGUGUCACCUGGAAGGGUUGUGGCAGUCACAACUAUAAAUGGUAAGACAUCUUGUCACAUUACACAGUGAAAUCCUAUGGAAUUAUUCUAUAAGAAUGCAUUACUCUGGAUUGCUCAUCUGCUUACUUAUUACAGUGUAACUGCCUGAUUUCAAGUGUUGUUGAUGAUGAUGAUGAUGAUGAUGAUGAUGACAAAAAAAAUAACAAUAACGUCUUAGCACCCAAGGUCGCUUAAAAAAGGUGGGGUAGUGUGACGGCGGGGUGAAUGAAGGACUGGAAACAAUAGCGAGUUAUACAAUUUAAUGAAAAUAAACAAACAAACAGGAAUGAGACAAUGAUGCUGGGAAGACGACAAUCCAAGAUGGUGGUGAGGUGGUGAGGAAUCCGGAUGAUGACGGUGAGAAGGCAGCAGGAGAGGAUGGCACAGGAACUGCGGGGAAUAGAGCCGAAGGUAAGUCUUUGUGGCAGAGUGAUAGUGCGGAGAGUGGAUGAGGUUCCGGGGAAACAAGAACAUCCAAACGCAGACAACACUGAAGCCAACAGACAGGGGAAACGACAUUAAACAACGAUCUCACAAACACAAGACGUAAGACAAGCCAUUAUAUAGAGAAUAAUUAAUGAGUGCCAGCUGUUGCUGAUGACAAUUAACGGAGACGCCCACAAACUAAUCAGUGCAGACGCGAAACACACCGACUUCACCACAAAGUGCAAAACCCAGAGAUCACGGUUUACCAGCCGUGACAGGUAGGGGAGGAGGAUUAAAGGCCAAUGGCAUCAGUGAAUAGGUGUGCUUUAAGGUGUUUUUGAACAUGCCCAGACAGGGAGCACUACGUUUGUGUAGUGGGAGGUUAUUCCAUGGAGUGGGACCAGCAAUACAAAAGGCUCUAUCCCCAAAGGUCCGCAGUCUGGUACGAUGGAUGGCAAGCUGGUCAUUUUCAGAGGAUCACAGGGGCCGUGACUGGAUUUGGGGGUGAUGGAGACCAGUAAGAUACUGGGGUGCAAGUGUAUGGAGGGAUUUAUAGGUGAGUAGGAGGAUUUUAAAGGUAAUGUGGGAUUGGCAGCCAGUGAAGUUGCAUGACGAUGGAUGGGUGUGAUAUGCUGCUAAGGUUUUGUGCAUGUUAGGAUCCUGGCAGUUGAAUUCUGGACUGUCCAGGGCUUUGCUGGGCAGAGCAGAUAGGACAUCAUUGCAAUAUAGGCCAGACAGGAGCUGAUGAAAGAGUAGAUGUGAAUUUCAGUUUCAGAGUGCUCUUGAGAGGUUUUUUAGGUGGUAGAAGGCAGAUUUGGGUGAUGUUUUUGUUAUGUGACUGGACUGAGAGGGUGGGGUCACCGAUGACGCCCAGGUAUUCCAACUUCUGGGGACUUACUGCCUGGUUUUAGGUGCAAGUAUCAUCCAAACAGCAUCCUGUUUUGUAUUAACACAGUUGUUUAGUUGUAAUUAUAUUAUUGGAAUCGUGAAAUCCAUGAUGAUUACAUAAACAGGCAGUCUUUUGUAGCAGUCUUCUCUCCACUGGAAUGUUGGUGUUUCAAUUUGUAAUCACAGCAUAAUUGAGUAGCCUUAACAAUGCAAAUAGAAACUGAAUCAGUCUUCAUUCAGAACAUUGACCAAUUACACUUCACGAACAGUUUAUUACAACCAAAGAAGUAUUGCCUUAUUCUGGUGAGGUAAAUUAAGUCCAUUAUUUGAGGAAAUGCAGUAUUACUUUAUUUGGAUUCAUGCUCCGUACAGGUCGCUACAACCUUUCAAUGCCAGUGGUGAGUUGCACAAGCUGUUGUGUCACAUGGUCCCCCUUCAUCAAGGACAUCCAGCGUGAUGGAUACUGGCCAAGCAGUGGCACCACAAACUUCUGCACACUAUAUGCCACUGAUAUCUUUCAGUCAUUUUAUGACUUGAAGAUGGCAGCACCAGGGGUCUCUCUGAAGUGCUUGAUGCAAGGACAGUGCGUUUCGGAAGAACUGGCAAGAUAUCACCAGACACAUUUUACAAAAGCUUCUCGGAAUGGGUAGCUUUAAAAUAUGAAGUAAAAAAGCUGUGUAUGAAGAUGUUCUUCAAUUGCCCCGCCUGCAGUCCAGAGAUGCUUGCAGUAUCAGUGGAUGGUAAUCACAAGCUUUAUCGCUUCAAAUCAAAUUCAAGCACUCCAGAGCCAGGACACUUUGAUGAGUUUGUUCAAUACAUCCACACACAAACAAAACAUGUAAGUUCAAAUAUUUGUUUUUGUCUCAUUGCCGACGUUAAUUGCUGGCACUACAUUGUUCAUUAAUAUUUGCUGUUAACUAACACUGUAACAUCACUGGCAGUAUUGAGAGGAAGGAGGCUUUAACUUCCCCAAUUUACACGCAUGCCUUUCCUUGCUUUGCUUUAUUAUAUCAAAGGCUGUAAAUAAUACAACUGCCAAAUUGUGAUGCCAGAGAAGAGUUGUUGACAGUCAUAUGCCUUAGAGGGCUUCAUAAAUCGUGCCAUGCUAUUACAAUUCUUGUAUAGGCCUCUGGAAAGGGCUCAUGUGGUUCUUCAACAUGGACAGCAGCUAAGGAUGAGGAGGGACUGGAAAUAGCUGUCUGCUGCCAUGGGGUCCUCCUUGGGUCACUGAAUAUGUUUAGAGGGGAGAUUUUUGCGUACCCUCUCUUCCUCCAGAGGGAGUUAACAGAAAGUGCCCCAGGAACAAUCUCAUUCCUGUGUUCAGAUGUAGCCUGUAAAUUUUUUCCUUAUUUGGUGGUGGUUCAGCAGUGUCCUGAGCUCAGGAAUCUGCUGUCAAUGUGCCCCUUUCUUUCAAUUAUGCAUGCCAAGGCACACUCUGGGAAAUGCAAGGUACAUUUCAGCUUUACUGACUAAUUUAGUAGGUGUACAAUAGUUCAUUUAUAAACAACUUCUAAUGUAUUAACUUAUAAGAUCAAAUAGGGAGGCGCGUUCCAGGAAGGUGCGGGUUCAACUAUCGGAGAAGAGGUGGAACAGGUAAACAGUUUCCUGUCCAGGGCAGCUGUUAUCACUAAGUACAUGACUAAAGCAGGUAUGUGGGAGUGGCUAGAUAUAUGUGUGUCUGUGUACUGUUCGUAAGUACAAUGGAAUAGUUUCUUUUCAGAAAAAAGCUGGAAAGAUGAUCUGUAAUCUGCUUUUCUUGAAAUCAGGAUGAAAAGACAUGCUUACCCUCUUGGCUUUAGGGUGGAAUGAAAGGAAGCUGGAAAACCUGAGUCACACUUUAAGCCAGAGAUACUUAAAGGUUAAUUUUUCAACAAUUUUAUUGUCAUAAUGAACUCAAACAACAUUCAUACAAAUGGGACUGAUUGAUUGUUUUAGUAGUGGUAGUAGUAGUAGUUGUUGUUGUUGUUGUUGUUGUUUUUACUAAUAUUAGACUGUAAGGAUACUCAAGAACAUCAGGACAACCUGAAUGCUGCAAAAAAGGAGCUUGGCAUUGAUGAUGACACUGUGCAGCUGUGGGUGGCUGAUGUGCAGAAGUGGGCAAGAGGAAACUGAUCAAAGUGAUGGUAGCCUUGGUGCAAUACAGGCAUGGAUAGAGGAGCUGGCUGUCCUCGUCAAAGUACGCAGCCUAAACCUUUUCAAACAAACAGAUAGCAACAAGAGGCGACAUAAGAUACAAAAAGUUAUUUUAAAUGACAAAAAAAUGCCUGGCAGCAGCUGUUGCCGAGUACAAUCAUCUGGCUGAACCGUGGGACAAGUGGCCUUGGCAAAGUGAAAACCUUCACACCAAAAGGAAGGUAUUUGAUAAGUUUAUGGCUGUGCAAUGCCUGAAGGAGGAAGAAGUAAUCCUCUGUAAGGAAAUGCUGCAACACUGGACAACACUAAAGCAAAUACUUGACACUGGGAGCCCUUUCUUCAAACUCCUCUCUUGUUGACUUCUCUGAGGAUGCACAAAAAGGACUGCAGUGUCUGGUUCAUCAGAGGCUCAGCAAACUGAAAGCAGAAAUGCUUUUAGUCAACAGCCAAAACAAAACUAUCCUGAAUGAUAACUCACACCUGGAGAUGGAGUUGGAAGAAGAAGACAUAGAACUUGAUGCUAUAGACUCUGAUUUCAGCUGUUCUGAUGAGGACUUCUGAUGAGGACUGUUGUUGUGGUGGCGGGUGUUGUGGUUGUUGACGUGUUGAUGGAUGUGGUUACUGUAGUUGAGAUUGUUGUUGUAUUAUGGUGCUUGUACCCUUGGGUUCUGCAACUUUGCCUGGGGUUUUGUUGUGUACAAUGUUGAAAGGGUUUCUAUGGCUUUGGAUCGAGGUGUCAUAGAAAAUCAAUAAUCAUUGUGUGUUAAUGUGUUAAAUAAUCGAGAUAUCAAACCUCAAACAUAGCUAAUUCCUCAUCUGUCCAUAAAAGAUUGUGUCCAUAAUACAGACAGUCAAAUGUUGUGUGUAAGUUGUGUAUUUACAAGUUGCAUGAUAUGGGUGUCGGACAGCUUUAUAUGUUUCCAGUCUUAUCUUAGGUGUGUUUAUUUUUUUAUUAUUUUUUUUUUAUUUGACAUUGCCCCCCACCUCCCACAUACAGGUAUGUCCCCCCUCACACACACACACACACACACACACACACCCACCUCCCACAUACAGGUAUGUCCCCGCACACAGACACACACACACACACACACACUCAUACUCACACUCACACACACACACUCACACACAAACACACACACCCACACACACUCACGCACACGCACACACACACACACACACAAAUUACUCUCACACACCAUAACAUCAUAACCACCAAAUACACACAAACCAUUGUAACAUUCAAGAUCUUCUGGAAUGACAAUAAAGCAUUUUUUU